UCCGAGGCCUCCGCGUUGCCUGGUGCUUCUUUGAAUCCCGCUGUUUUGGCGGUGGUUCGGGAUGCGACGCUCGGCGCCUGGCUGACGAUCUUGUGUGCUGGUGAAAGCCGCAGGGCAUUGUGCAUCCAGUUGAAGGAAGGAGAAAACUAUGAGGGAUCAUAGGUGCAAGACUUCAUGGUCAAGCCCGGAAGUGGAUACCUCACUUCCUCUCACAUUCCAUUGGCUAAAAUUCAGUCACAUGACAAAUCCUACUGCAAAGGAAGCUGGGAAAUAGAUCUAGUAUGCACCAGAAGAACAGAAGAAGUGGUUUUGCUAUCAGUCUCUAUCACACACUGACACAUUGGUGAGACCUGCAAACAUUUGAAAGUUUAUCAAGAAUCUAAGGAGAAACCCAAGGAAAUGAAGAGAGAAAGUAAAGAAAUAGGAAAAUGGUUACUAUGGUAAACUAAAUAAAUUUAACCUGAAGUCACAGAUUAUAAUGACUAGCCCUA